AUUAAGUUUUAUUUUGGCUUAUAAAUUUAUUAUUAGUUUAAUUUAUAUGUAAAUUUUUAUGUGAAUUUUUAUUUAUUUUAAUAGUAAAUAAAAUUAUUUUAUCCGCAGUAAUUAAUAUUAUUAAUUAAGGAAACUUAGAAAUAGUAAUACUAAAGAGUAUUGGCUAAAUUUGUGCCAGCAGCCGCGGUUAUACGAAUAAUGCAAAUAAAUUUUUUUAGUUAAAGUUAAAUUGUUUAUUAUAAAAUAAAAAUAAAUUUAUUAAGUGAAAUUUUAAAUUUGUAUAUUUUUUAUU
rnacentral:rRNA from 1 species